CAUUUAAGGCUCUGAAACAAAUUGUUACAUUAAAUAGAUAAUAUAGUUGUAUCCAGUACAUCUUUUGUAUUUAUUUUCUAUCUUCCUACAAAAACAUGUGUAGAGUGGUGCAUUCACGUGCAAUCGUGUAGUUUUCAAAGUUACUUGAGGGGACAGUCUCCUGGUCAACGUAAAAUUAAUUCUCAAAACCGCUGAGAUUACAAGUAAUCCAUAAGAAUAAAAGGUCCAACGACAAACAACAAAACUAGCACUUCAGCUAGCCACUAGAUGGAGACAGAGAGCAACUCAGUGUGUGGUGGAGACGGGUGGCGUACGUUUUUAUAUUUGUCGCGGGUUUAUGUUUACAUCGGUUCUCUGACUGCUUCCAUCACAGUGGUUGUGACUACGUCCACCUAGCCACUGUGCUUAGCCUCGGUAUCUCACCUCUCCACCAGUACUUCUGAGAUAUGUACUCCCAGAUAAGUCAGUCAGAGAGUAGAGGCAUGCAGAGAAUGAUACCCUCGUCGGGGGUGGGGAUUUUCCAGUACACACACAUGAAACCAGGGUCUCUAAAAGAUGGUCCAUCCUAACCACAGUCAAAUGUGGGGUGUUCCAAUCUGGGCCACAGUGGUGGACCGUAUGAAAGACACUGCCACCCCUUGAGCCACUCACUGCUCAACAUAAAGUCUCAGAGCCCAAGGUGACCUCCUCAGCUACCUUGUUUUGAAUGACCACCAGUCCAAAAACCCAAAUAUGUUUUGUUUAUGAUAAACAACAGAGAAAAUGCAUCAGAUCUAAAAGUUGGAACUAAUACAUGUCUGGUAUUUUACUCAAUAAAUGAAUGAUUCAUCAAUUA